rnacentral:rRNA from 1 species
AAACUGAAGGGUUUGAUCCUGGCUCAGAACGAACGCUGGCGGCGUGGUUAAGACAUGCAAGUCGAACGGACUAUUCUACAGAGUAAUCUAAGGGAUAGUUAGUGGCGAAAGGGUGCGUAAUGGAUAGGUAAUGUACCCCAGGCUUCGGGAUAGCGUCGCUUACCUUCGGGUAAGCUACCGAAAGGGGCGGUAAUACCGGAUGAUAUCACCGGUUGAUGGAUCGGUGAUCAAAGAUUUAUCGGCCUGGGAGCAGCCUAUCUCCUAUCAGCUUGUUGGUGAGGUAACGGCUCACCAAGGCAACGACGGGUAGCGGGACUUAGAGGUUGGCCCGCCACAUCGGGACUGAGACACUGCCCGGACCUCCACGGAGGGCUGCAGUAACGAAUCUUGCGCAAUGGGCGAAAGCCUGACGCAGCGACGCCGCGUGCGGGAAGAAGUCCUUCGGGAUGUAAACCGCUGUCAGGGAUACGAAAGUACACUCCGGUGUAUUGAUCUACCCCAGAGGAAGUCACGGCUAACUUCGUGCCAGCAGCCGCGGUAAGACGAAGGUGGCUAGCGUUGUUCGGUAUCACUGGGCUUAAAGCGUGUGUAGGCGGAAGAGUAAGCGUUUUGUGAAAUCCCUCGGCUCAACCGAGGAAUGGCUUGACGAACUGCUUUUCUUGAGGCAAGUAAGGGUGCGUGGAACUCUUGGUGGAGCGGUGGAAUGCGUAGAUAUCAAGAGGAACGCCGGUGGUGAAGACGGCGCACUGGGCUUGUUCUGACGCUGAGACACGAAAGCGUGGGUAGCGAACGGGAUUAGAUACCCCGGUAGUCCACGCCGUAAACGAUGCCUACUAGGUUGUGGCGGUUCUGACACCGGCACGGCCGAAGCAAAAGUGUUAAGUAGGCCGCCUGGGGAGUACGGUCGCAAGGCUAAAACUCAAAGGAAUUGACGGGGGCUCACACAAGCGGUGGAGCAUGUGGAUUAAUUCGAAGCAACGCGCAGAACCUU